rnacentral:lncRNA from 1 species
UGAUACUAGUGAGUUCAAAUCAAAUAUCAACUAAACUUACUCGAUCUUCAAGGACAUACACAAGCGUAGUCCCCAAUACGACAUUUAACACUGGUACUACUUAUUCAGGUGGCUUCAGACAAGGGCACAUCAAGAAUCAACAAAUGAGAGUGGCAUUGGCCUUAGUAGCCUAAUCAAUAUAAUCUCCAGACAUGUUUAACAUCAUCGCUGACAGACCCUAAAUCAAUCAAAUCCCAAGAAAGCAGAGGCCAGCCCUUCUAGCACUAACUUCUGUUUCUAUACACCUUAUUAGCGUGACAACAAUAAGCUAUCAGACAACAGUCAGAAGUUCACAAAUCAAGCACGUUAACAAUAUUGAACAGAGAAACAAACUGAACCUCGGCUUGACCAUCAAACAUUGAUUUAGAGCCAGAACGCUCUUCUCCCUCGGAAUCAGUCAUCUCCUCACACUCGAAUUCUACAUUUUCUUCAAAUUCUUCAUCAGAGUCACUCAGCUCUUCUUGUUCCAUCACAAUCUCUUGCUGAGAUUCACCACCCACAUCAUCAAUAUUGCUUACCGGCCUAGAUGCAUCAGCCUCUGAAAUAAGGCUGCUCUUAACCACAGGUCUCCUCUCGUUGAGUUGAUGGCACGGAGUCCUAGUUUCACAAGUUUCCAUGGCAUUAACACAAUCCAUGGAGCCUUUCACAGAAGUUGAUUCAUUAACUAUAUUACCAUCUCUCAGCCUCCUUUUCUUCUCAUUUAUAGAUGCAGAACUUAAAUGAAUCUCAAGGUCCAAUUCAUUAGCUUGAACAAUCUGGCUAAUCACUUUAGAUGCCGUGGUAUUCUGGGCAACAACACCAGGAUACGGAUAUUGCUGAGUUUUGUCACCCAGGGAAACAGAUUGGUAGAUAUUAGAG